GACGAACGCUGGCGGCGUGCCUAAUACAUGCAAGUAGAACGCUGAAGAGAGGAGCUUGCUCUUCUUGGAUGAGUUGCGAACGGGUGAGUAACGCGUAGGUAACCUGCCUUGUAGCGGGGGAUAACUAUUGGAAACGAUAGCUAAUACCGCAUAACAAUGGAUGACACAUGUCAUUUAUCUGAAAGGGGCAAUUGCUCAACUACAAGAUGGACCUGCGUUGUAUUAGCUAGUAGGUGAGGUAAUGGCUCACCUAGGCGACGAUACAUAGCCGACCUGAGAGGGUGAUCGGCCACACUGGGACUGAGACACGGCCCAGACUCCUACGGGAGGCAGCAGUAGGGAAUCUUCGGCAAUGGGGGCAACCCUGACCGAGCAACGCCGCGUGAGUGAAGAAGGUUUUCGGAUCGUAAAGCUCUGUUGUAAGUCAAGAACGGGUGUGAGAGUGGAAAGUUCACACUGUGACGGUAGCUUACCAGAAAGGGACGGCUAACUACGUG
rnacentral:rRNA from 1 species